GUGAGGCAUUGGCCCGGGGGUCGCCAGUCGGGGUGAGGAGGCUGGGCCUUGGGGACAGCAGCCGGUUCUUGUCGCCGCCCUCGGCCUCAUCCACCUCGUCUGCACUGCAGGUAGCACUGGAGUCGCUGUCCUGGGGGGCGCCCGAGCUCUUGGCUGUGGUGGCCCUGCCGCUCCCGCCCUCCUUCUUCUCUGCCUUGAGCGCCCCCUCGGCCGUGGCCUCAGCGGCCUCCGCGUCCUUGCCCUUGGCCGGCCCCUCCUCGGCUUCCUCCGUGCACUCGCUCUUGACGGGCUCCUCGGCCUUCCCUGUGUCCACUGCCAGCUCCUCAGCCGCGGGGGGCUUCUGCUCCUCCCCCUCCUCCACUGGGGGCGCUGCUGCGGUCUCCUCCUCCUUCUCCUCCUUGGGGACCACAGGAGGAGGUGCAGAGGGCGAUGGGGGUGCUGGUGGGGGCGUAGGGGCUCCGGUGGCUUCAGAGGCCGGGGUGGGCUCAGUGGGGGCCGGGAUGUCCUCCGGUGGUGGGGUGGGUGGCCCUGGGGGUGGCCCGUCGGCGCCCAGGGUGGCUGGGGGCUUGGGCCCAUUCUGCCCUGUGUCCUUGGCGGCCUCAGUGUGAGGAGAGGGGAUGCUCUCGGUGUCUGAGCUGUUGUUGACAGUGGCUUCAGCCUCCUCCACCAUCUCCUCCUCAUUUCCGCUCACGCCCGACGCCUCCAUCUCCUCAUCCUCCACCACGGGCGGGAAUGCAGCCU
rnacentral:lncRNA from 1 species